rnacentral:rRNA from 1 species
UACGUAGGGGGCAAGCGUUGUUCGGAAUUACUGGGCGUAAAGCGCACGUAGGCGGAUUGUUAAGUCAGGGGUGAAAUCCCGAGGCUCAACCUCGGAACUGCCUUUGAUACUGGCAAUCUCGAGUCCGGAAGAGGUGAGUGGAAUUCCUAGUGUAGAGGUGAAAUUCGUAGAUAUUAGGAAGAACACCAGUGGCGAAGGCGGCUCACUGGUCCGGUACUGACGCUGAGGUGCGAAAGCGUGGGGAGCAAACAGG